UACAGAGGUCUCAAGCGUUGUUCGGAUUCAUUGGGCGUAAAGGGUGCGUAGGCGGCGCGGUAAGUCGGGUGUGAAAUCUCGGGAGCUUAACUCCGAAACUGCAUUCGAUACUGCCGUGCUUGAGGACUGGAGAGGAGACUGGAAUUUACGGUGUAGCGGUGAAAUGCGUAGAUAUCGUAAGGAAGACCAGUGGCGAAGGCGGGUCUCGUGGACAGUUCCUGACGCUGAGGCACGAAGGCCAGGGGAGCAAACGGG
rnacentral:rRNA from 1 species